GAUGAACGCUAGCGGCAGGCUUAACACAUGCAAGUCGAGGGGUAGUCUAGCAAUAGAUGAGACCGGCGCACGGGUGCGUAACGCGUAUGCAAUCUACCUUUUACAGAGGGAUAGCCCAGAGAAAUUUGGAUUAAUACCUCAUAGUAUAACGACUCGGCAUCGAGAUGUUAUUAAAGUUCCAACGGUAAAAGAUGAGCAUGCGUCCCAUUAGCUAGUUGGUGUGGUAACGGCACACCAAGGCAACGAUGGGUAGGGGUCCUGAGAGGGAGAUCCCCCACACUGGUACUGAGACACGGACCAGACUCCUACGGGAGGCAGCAGUGAGGAAUAUUGGUCAAUGGGCGCAAGCCUGAACCAGCCAUGCCGCGUGCAGGAUGACGGUCCUAUGGAUUGUAAACUGCUUUUGUACAGGAAUAAACACUCCCUCGUGAGGGAGCUUGACGGUACUGUAAGAAUAAGGAUCGGCUAACUCCGUGCCAGCAUCCGCGGUAAUACGGAGGAUCCAAGCGUUAUCCGGAAUCAUUGGGUUUAAAGGGUCCGUAGGCGGGUUUAUAAGUCAGUGGUGAAAGCCCAUCGCUCAACGAUGGAACGGCCAUUGAUACUGUAGAUCUUGAAUUAUUAGGAAGUAACUAGAAUAUGUAGUGUAGCGGUGAAAUGCUUAGAGAUUACAUGGAAUACCAAUUGCGAAGGCAGGUUACUACUAAUGGAUUGACGCUGAUGGACGAAAGCGUGGGUAGCGAACAGGAUUAGAUACCCUGGUAGUCCACGCCGUAAACGAUGGAUACUAGCUGUUCGGAGCAAUCUGAGUGGCUAAGCGAAAGUGAUAAGUAUCCCACCUGGGGAGUACGUUCGCAAGAAUGAA
rnacentral:rRNA from 1 species